AUCAUGGUAAGGGGCUGUAAGUGGCAUGAAAUAUAAGGACCACAAUUUUUAACUGCAAACUAUAAUGGUGUGUAAUGAUUAAAUGAAAAUAUUUGUUAUGGAUGGUCCGAUGAAGAUUCCAAAAUAUCAUAUCAAAGGUAUUUUCAAUUGUUUCUCCUGUCUUCUUGGGUAUUUGUAGCUACAAACAUUGUCUUGUGCAUGAUUUAAAAUGUCCCAUUUUUAAUUCCUCAUUGAAAGUUUGGUUCCAGUCAUAUCAUGAAAGGCGUGAUCAUGGAGCAGGACCAGCUGGCCUGCUCCUGUAUUGAUGAGAAUGUCACAACUAAGUAUAAGUUGUUGGCCACCCUGGUUGAAGGGAACUUUUUAGAGGUCUAACUGGCUUUCCAUGUCCUCACACUGACCUGUGUGGCUGUAAAAAUUUUCCAAAAUGUCAAGAUAUAUGUCUUGCUUUUCUGCAGGAAAAUCAGCAAUGUGAAAUCACUUGACCAUCCUAACUUUAUCAAGCUGUUUCACAUGGUCAGACAAGAGAAAACACCUACCAGUUGAAGGAUAAUGCCUCGGAUGGAGAGAUACUAGAACAAGUCAUUGAAGGUCAUCAUUGAACUAUUGAUGGUCAAUUCCAGAAGAAAUCCCACCAUCCACAAAAUCAUGAUGUGCCUCAUGAUUAGUGAAAUGAGGCAUGUUUAUUACCUCCUUCCUGUGUAUUUCUGCUUUGAAGUUUUGAAGAGGACCAGAAGCCAGAGAGUAGGAAUGUACAGGCUCUUUCAACAAUUUUAUGGUAAAUAUAAUCCCCGUAUCAGCAUCUGACUGAAACAUUCUAAGACCCCAAGUAUAUCAAUGUGUCCAAUCCUGGUUUCAAAUGGUGGAGGUAAAUUUAAUAUUUAGGGGAAUGCACCGUUCCCUUGUUUUAGAAUUAGAUCCUCUACAACGGGAAUCUGGGACAUGUAUAUUAGUAGGACGGGAGCAAUUAUAAGUCAAACAACACAGUGUAUUAGGUGAUAAAAUUCUUAAGAACAGGAGAAAGGGGCCAGGCAAGAAAGCUAGAGGGUGGCCCAUUGAGAGCUGGUGGAACAACGAGAUCAGGUGAUAAAUAGCAUUCAGUCACACAACUAAACAAAUGAGGAAGCUUUCUUGGGACAAAAAGGCCAGUGCAAAAAGCAGCGCAAGCUUUGUGCCUGUGAUACAGAAAGGCAAGCACAUACACCUCUUGCACACUCACACCUGUAUACACCUUAUUGAUUCUGUGAGACUGGUGUCCAGCCAGCUCUAAGAUCUGUCUGUCUCCCUCAUACUCCACGAUACUGAGGUUACAGACACAUGGGCACCACGCCUUAUUUGCAGGUGGGUUCUGGGCAUUUGAACUCAGGUCCUCAUGCUUGCACAAAAGUCAUUUCACCACUGAGCCAUCUCUUCUGUCCCUCUAAUUUGUUGACCUUAGACAAAAGCGUGGCAGCUUAAAACAAAGGUUUUGCAUAACACAUUUUUACACUAGCAGGCUGUCAAGAUUUUUCCAGCCUUUUGAUUAUCUAAUAGGUAGAGAAAAUGAAGCUGACCAAGUCUCCUA
ensembl:lncRNA